CGGCGGGGCUCCAUGUGCAGCCGUGGCCGGGCCACGAGUGAGCCCCCCGGGUCGGCCCUUUGCACGGUUGGGAUUGAGUGGGUCGGCCCGCGGGCCCGCCCUUCCCGCCGUCGGGAGCGGGAACGCGUGGGGCCCCCGGCGUGCGCUCCCGCGGCCCCGCUCGCUGACUGCGGCUCGGAGCCCUCGUCCGAGGGUCGCAGACGCUCCCUCUGCGGCCGGAAUCCGCCUUUUUUCAAGACGUUUUCCCACAACCGAGUCCAGAUUUUAUUUAUUUAUUUAUUCAAGAGACACAGAGAGAGAGAGAGAGAGAGAGAGAUUGGCAGAGACACCGGCAGAGGGAGAAGCAGGCUCCAUGCAGGGAGCCCGACGCGGGACUGGAUCCCAGGACCUAGGGUCACGCCCCGGGCCGACGGCAGGUGCCUAACCGCUGCCCCACCCGCCCCGGGGCGUCCCCCCAAUCUUGUUUCCUAACUGCGCAGUCGCAGUCAAAGGAGAAUUUGUGCCCGGUGUGUUUGGAGGCUGAAUUCCCGGCGCGGCGGUGUCCAGCUUCGAAUCGCUGCGCUUCGCCAUGAGGCUCUUGCAGGGUAAAAAAUGAGCCGGAGAGCUCUCCUCUCCGGGGAAGAUACAGUUUCUAGGACAAAAAGGACCCCGUGGGUGCAGAUUCUGUCCAAUUAAAAUGAAUCUUUCUGUUUUGG